GCCUUCUUGGCCAAGCGGUAAGGCGUCGCACUCGUAACGUUUCGAUUUCCUGAAAUUGAAUCUACAAGCAAUGCGAAGAUCGACGGUUCGAUUCCGUCAGGAGGCA